rnacentral:rRNA from 1 species
ACGUUGGCGGCGUGCUUCAUACAUGCAAGUCGAACGAGAAAGUACCCUUCGGGGUGCUAGUAAAGUGGCGGACGGGUGAGUAACACGUGAGCAACCUGCCCCAAAGUUCGGGAUAACCUUGAGAAAUCGGGGCUAAUACCGAAUGUUGCCCAGUCAUCGCAUGUUGAUUGGAUUAAAGAUCGCCUCUCCCUGGAAGCGAUCGCUUUGGGAUGGGCUCGCGGCCUAUUAGCUAGUUGGUGAGGUAAUGGCUCACCAAGGCAACGAUGGGUAGCCGGCCUGAGAGGGUGUACGGCCACAUUGGGACUGAGAUACGGCCCAAACUCCUACGGGAGGCAGCAGUAGGGAAUAUUGCGCAAUGGGCGAAAGCCUGACGCAGCAACGCCGCGUGAGCGAUGAAGGCCUUCGGGUCGUAAAGCUCUGUCAGGUGAGAUGAAACCUUGAUGAGCUAAUAACUCAUUGAGUUGACAGUAUCACCAGAGGAAGCUCCGGCUAACUCCGUGCCAGCAGCCGCGGUAAUACGGAGGGAGCAAACGUUGUUCGGAAUUACUGGGCGUAGAGGGCGUGUAGGCGGUUAAGUAAGUCAGGUGUGAAAUGUUACUGCUCAACAGUAAACCUGCAUCUGAUACUGCUUAGCUGGAGGUCAGGAGAGGAGAGCGGAAUUCCCAGUGUAGCGGUGGAAUGCGUAGAUAUUGGGAAGAACACCAGUGGCGAAGGCGGCUCUCUGGACUGAUUCUGACGCUGAGACGCGAAAGCUAGGGGAGCAAA